rnacentral:rRNA from 1 species
AGCGAACGUUAGCGGCGGGCCUAACACAUGCAAGUCGAACGCGAAAGGUCUUCGGACUGAGUAGAGUGGCGCACGGGUGAGUAACACGUAGGUAAUCUACCCUUUGGCGGGGGAUAACGUUCCGAAAGGAGCGCUAAUACCGCAUAAGACCACGGAGUCUCCGGACGCUGUGGGAAAGGUAGGCCUCUUCUUGAAAGACUACCACCGAAGGAUGAGCCUGCGUCCCAUCAGCUAGUUGGUAAGGUAAUGGCUUACCAAGGCGAAGACGGGUAGCUGGUUUGAGAGAAUGAUCAGCCACACUGGCACUGGAACACGGGCCAGACUCCUACGGGAGGCAGCAGUGAGGAAUAUUGGGCAAUGGGCGGAAAGACCUGACCC